CACUAAGAAGCUAAACCGGGACCAGCACUAGCCUUUUAAGCUAGAGAUUGGCGGACCCCACCCGCCCUUGGUGG
rnacentral:tRNA from 1 species